rnacentral:rRNA from 1 species
GACGAACGCUGGCGGCAAGCUUAACACAUGCAAGUCGAACGGAUUAUUCUUUAUAGCUUGCUAUAAAGAAUAAUUAGUGGCAGACGGGUGAGUAAUGCAUAGGAAUCUACCUAGUAGUAUGGGAUAGCCACUAGAAAUGGUGGGUAAUACUGUAUAAUCCCUGCGGGGGAAAGAUUUAUCGCUAUUAGAUGAGCCUAUGUUAGAUUAGCUAGUUGGUAGGGUAAAGGCCUACCAAGGCGAUGAUCUAUAGCUGGUCUGAGAGGAUGAUCAGCCACACUGGAACUGAGAUACGGUCCAGACUCCUACGGGAGGCAGCAGUGGGGAAUAUUGGACAAUGGGCGCAAGCCUGAUCCAGCUAUGCCGCGUGAGUGAGGAAGGCCUUAGGGUUGUAAAACUCUUUCAGUAGGGAAGAUAAUGACGGUACCUACAGAAGAAGUCCCGGCAAACUCCGUGCCAGCAGCCGCGGUAAUACGGAGGGGGCAAGCGUUGUU